rnacentral:tRNA from 1 species
GCCCCCAUAGCUCAGCUGGUUAGAGCAAGGAACUCAUAAUUCUUGGGUCGCGGGUUCAAGUCCUGCUGGGGGCACUA